rnacentral:miRNA from 10 species
AAACUAUAAUAUUUGGUUGGUGCAAAAGUAAUUGCAGGUUUUACUAUUAAAAAUAAUGGCAAAAACCACAAUUACUUUUGCACCAAUCCAAUA